rnacentral:rRNA from 1 species
UACGAAGGGGGCGAGCGUUGUUCGGAUUUACUGGGCGUAAAGGGCGCGCAGGCGGUCUUGAAAGUCAGGCGUGAAAGCCCCGGGCUUAACCUGGGAAUUGCGCUUGAUACUCUGAGACUGGAGUACGGGAGAGGAGAGUGGAAUUCCCAGUGUAGAGGUGAAAUUCGUAGAUAUUGGGAAGAACACCAGUGGCGAAGGCGGCUCUCUGGACCGUAACUGACGCUGAGACACGAAAGCGUGGGUAGCAAACAGG